rnacentral:rRNA from 1 species
UACAGAGGUCCCGAGCGUUGUUCGGAUUCACUGGGCGUAAAGGGUGCGCAGGUGGUUUGGCAAGUUUGAUGUGAAAGCCCCGGGCUUAACCCGGGAAUGGCAUUGAAUACUGCUUGAACUGGAGGGUUGGAGGGGGGACUGGAAUUCUUGGUGUAGCAGUGAAAUGCGUAGAUAUCGGGAGGAACAUCCGUGGCGAAGGCGGCCACCUGGACCAGCACUGACACUGAGGCACGAAAGCGUGGGGAGCAAACAGG